UCUAAUACCGGAUAACACUCCUGSCCGCAUGUGUGGGGGUUGAAAGCUCCGGCGGUGAAGGAUGAGCCCGCGGCCUAUCAGCUUGUUGGUGAGGUAGUAGCUCACCAAGGCGACGACGGG
rnacentral:rRNA from 1 species